AAGCAGAAAACACGGGUCUGUCUGGAGCCACUACUAAGAUCCCCCUUUAAAAUCCCGCCACAUGAUUCUGAGAGUCAAUCUCUCUUACUUCUGUCGGCGUCAAACAGGAAUAUCACCACCCUGCCCACCUCGCAGGGUGAGAUUCCAACUAGAAAGUGUUUAUGCAAGUCCGCCGUGGGUCGCGAAACGGCUGCUGGCAUUGGAACAGAGAUGCCAAACACAGUAAACAUCAAGCAGAAGCUAGGCAGCGGGAGCCGAACCGAGCCGAGCCGAGAUUUGGGAUCCCUCCUCCAGGCCCGAGGCCGAGGUCGCGCGGCUGAGUGGCAGCUUCUCCUGGGCAUGCUACAUAAACUGUGGGAAGGCGGAAGACUGACCUAGAACACCUUCAAGUGGAUGCUACAGAACCCACCAGGGCAGAGCCUCAGCUUUCAGCCUCCUAGAAUGAAGCGUGAACCCAAAGCAAAGAGCUGAACUGCUUUCACACCUCUGACUUCACAGACAAAGGUGAAUCUCCUAGGGUAUUUCUGGUAUCGUUGCUACCAAUGACUGAGAGAGCAUCAAAGUCUGAGGGGUGACA
rnacentral:lncRNA from 1 species